AUUGAACGCUGGCGGCAGGCUUAACACAUGCAAGUCGAGCGGAGAUGAGGUGCUUGCACCUUAUCUUAGCGGCGGACGGGUGAGUAAUGCUUAGGAAUCUGCCUAUUAGUGGGGGACAACGUUCCGAAAGGAAUGCUAAUACCGCAUACGUCCUACGGGAGAAAGCAGGGGAUCUUCGGACCUUGCGCUAAUAGAUGAGCCUAAGUCGGAUUAGCUAGUUGGUGGGGUAAAGGCCUACCAAGGCGACGAUCUGUAGCGGGUCUGAGAGGAUGAUCCGCCACACUGGGACUGAGACACGGCCCAGACUCCUACGGGAGGCAGCAGUGGGGAAUAUUGGACAAUGGGGGGAACCCUGAUCCAGCCAUGCCGCGUGUGUGAAGAAGGCCUUAUGGUUGUAAAGCACUUUAAGCGAGGAGGAGGCUACUGAGACUAAUACUCUUGGAUAGUGGACGUUACUCGCAGAAUAAGCACCGGCUAACUCCGUGCCAGCCGCCGCGGUAA
rnacentral:rRNA from 1 species